rnacentral:rRNA from 1 species
UUUGCUUGCAAACUGAAGAUGGCGACCGGCGCACGGGUGAGUAACACGUAUCCAACCUGCCGAUAACUCCGGGAUAGCCUUCCGAAAGAAAGAUUAAUACCGGAUAGCAUACGAAUAUCGCAUGAUAUUUUUAUUAAAGAAUUUCGGUUAUCGAUGGGGAUGCGUUCCAUUAGUUUGUUGGCGGGGUAACGGCCCACCAAGACUACGAUGGAUAGGGGUUCUGAGAGGAAGGUCCCCCACAUUGGAACUGAGACACGGUCCAAACUCCUACGGGAGGCAGCAGUGAGGAAUAUUGGUCAAUGGGCGAGAGCCUGAACCAGCCAAGUAGCGUGAAGGAUGAAGGCUCUAUGGGUCGUAAACUUCUUUUAUAUGGGAAUAAAGUUUUCCACGUGUGGAAUUUUGUAUGUACCAUAUGAAUAAGGAUCGGCUAACUCCGUGCCAGCAGCCGCGGUAAUACGGAGGAUCCGAGCGUUAUCCGGGUUUAUUGGGUUUAAAGGGAGCGUAGGUGGAUUGUUAAGUCAGUUGUGAAAGUUUGCGGCUCAACCGUAAAAUUGCAGUUGAAACUGGCAGUCUUGAGUACAGUAGAGGUGGGCGGAAUUCGUGGUGUAGCGGUGAAAUGCUUAGAUAUCACGAAGACUCCGAUUGCGAAGGCAGCUCACUAGACUG